CGGGACGGGUGAGUAAUGUCUGGGAAACUGCCUGAUGGAGGGGGGUAACUACUGGAAACGGUAGCUAAUACCGCAUAACGUCGCAAGACCAAAGAGGGGGACCUUCGGGCCUCUUGCCAUCGGAUGUGCCCAGAUGGGAUUAGCUGUAGGUGGGGUAACGGCUCACCUAGGCGACGAUCCCAGCUGGUCUGAGAGGAUGACCAGCCACACUGGAACUGAGACACGGUCCAG
rnacentral:rRNA from 1 species